rnacentral:rRNA from 1 species
UACGGGGGGGGCAAGCGUUGUUCGGAAUUACUGGGCGUAAAGGGCUCGUAGGCGGCCAACUAAGUCGGAUGUGAAAUCCCCAGGCUUAACCUGGGAACUGCAUCCGAUACUGGAUGGCUUGAAUCCGGGAGAGGGAUGCAGAAUUCCAGGUGUAGCGGUGAAAUGCGCAGAUAUCAGGAGGAACACCGGUGGCGAAGGCGGUUCUCUGGGCCUUACCUGACACUGAGGAGCGAAAGUGUGGGGAGCGAACAGG